rnacentral:rRNA from 1 species
GACGAACGCUGGCGGCGUGCUUAACACAUGCAAGUCGAACGGAAAGGCCCUGCUUUUGUGGGGUUCUCGAGUGGCGAACGGGUGAGUAACACGUGAGUAACCUGCCCUUGACUUUGGGAUAACUUCAGGAAACUGGGGCUAAUACCGGAUAGGAGCUCCUGCUGCAUGGUGGGGGUUGGAAAGUUUCGGCGGUUGGGGAUGGACUCGCGGCUUAUCAGCGUGUUGGUGGGGUAGUGGCUUACCAAGGCUUUGACGGGUAGCCGGCCUGAGAGGGUGACCGGCCACAUUGGGACUGAGAUACGGCCCAGACUCCUACGGGAGGCAGCAGUGGGGAAUAUUGCACAAUGGGCGGAAGCCUGAUGCAGCAACGCCGCGUGCGGGAUGACGGCCUUCGGGUUGUAAACCGCUUUCGCCUGUGACGAAGCGUGAGUGACGGUAAUGGGUAAAGAAGCACCGGCUAACUACGUG